UGGUAGGGCCACAUCUGCCAGAGCCUGGAGUCUGCGAAGGCCGGGACCCGGUUCCCCGGCCCACCGUGGGGGGGGGUGUGCAAACCCGAGAGAACUGGGAAGUGCCGUCAGAAGCGAUAACUGACGACGUCUAAUGUCUAUCUGACCGCAGUCGCUGAAACCUCUACAACUUAGUUGACCGUAACUGCCAGAGCCCUGCCCUGAAUUCCUGUCCUUACUCCCUCUUUAAGAUUGCGUACCCACUGCAGAGUGCUGAAGACGGGGUAGCCACGAGGUUGCAAAUUCGUGAAGAAUCAGCAUCAUGUUUGGCAGCUGAGUAUUGGAGCCAGGAGCCUGCCAUGAGGUUUUGAGAACAGAGUGCUGUUUUAGAGCUGGCAGCAGCAUCUCAGCCCAAGAGAAGGUUAUAUUCCCAGAGGAUGUCAGUCCCAAGGACCAGUAGCUGCCAUCAGUUUGGAUUCUGAAAACUAACCGGCAUCAACACUGGGUGUAGAAACAUGCUUGCCUUAUGUAUCAGAGGACAUGCUCAGCAGAUCCAAGAGAUAUAUUUGGCAACUUUUUCUAGAAAAGGCACAUUGGGUAUCAUUCAUUACAUUCUUGAGUUUUUUUGGUUUUUUUUUUUUUUUUUUUUUGAGACAGUCUUGCUGUAUUGCCCAGGCUGGAGUGUGGUGGCACAAUCACAGCUCAUUGCAUCCUCAAUCACCCAGGCCUAAGCAAUCCUCCCACCUUGUAGCUGGGACUAUAGCUCACAGCACACCUGGCUAAAAUUUUUUUUUUGUUAAGACGGAUUCUCUAUGUUGCCCAGGCUGGUCUCAGGCUCCUGGGCUCAGAUGGUCCUCCUGCCUCAGCUUCCAAAGGCACAGGCCAAGUUGUAGCUUUGUCCCUUGCCAUCAUGCCCAACAAGAGGUUCUAUACCUUUUAAUGAAUUGACUUUCAUAAAUUGGUUAUGUUGGUGGGCAAGUUCUUUAAGCUGGAAAUUGUAAAUUCCUCCUGAAAUGUUUUUUCAUGCAGUUACCAUGAACUAA
rnacentral:antisense_RNA from 1 species